GAGAGGAGACCAACUUUUAUCAAACCAUUGUAUUUUGGAUAUUAUUCGUUACUGCAUCAUAUAUUCGCCUAUCCUGACUGCUACAAGGUGCAUACACAGAAAUCAAUCCAUAUUCAAAUGAAAUACCCACUUCAAACCAGUAAGAGGAGUCCAUUCAAAUGCAGAGAAAAUAGAGGGGUUAAAAUAAAAGCUCAUAGAGUUAAUUAACAAGCAUCUUAUUGAGUUUAAAACACCAGCAAGCUCAAAAAACAACUUGUUUGUGUUACGUUUCAGUUGUUUACAAAUCCAAGAGGAUCACACAGAGCAUGAGCACAGGGGCUGCCCUUCUCACUGUGCGUGGGAUGCAGGGGACUGGCUCUCUCAAGCCACAGAGGGGCUUUUGUGUCCAAUAAUAGCAUCACAGGCCCCAGCGGGCUUUGUUUAUUCAUCCACAAUAACUUCUUUCUCUUGCCAGUUAGAGCCAGUUGGGAUAUGGAAUCAAAAUUAUGAACAGACUAAAGGAAAAAAAAUUGUGCUACCCAAUUAUAAAUAAAUAGAGGGGUAGAUUUCUCUUUGUGGGAGACAAGUGACAAUCCCCACUAGAUAAACCAGGAAGAGACCAAUGACAGAAAGGAUGGUUUCACAUAGAAUUCUUUGUCCCAAUUCCUCUGGUGGGAAGUCCUGACUGUGUUUGCUUAGAGGUCCCCAAAAUGCCUGAGGUAGCAUCAGCUCAGCCACACGAAAAGAAAAAGCUUUUUGUAGAUGUAUGCAAGGAAGAGAAAACUUAGAUUUAAUAUUUGUGUAAUUAAAGAAAAUCAAUGGCUUAUGCUUAAUUAAGCCUAAAUAGUGAGGUACAUCUGUCCAAAAAAACCCCUUUUUUCUAACCAUAUUUUUUUUCCUUAAAUACUUCAAAAGUGUCAGGUGGAAACCCCAAGUGUUGAUUAAUUUUCUUAAGAUUCUUUUAUUGCCAAGUUACAAACUUGCUGGUAUAAUUGGGCAAAACUCUCACCCUUUCUGUCCUCAUGGAAUAGAAGACCUCUAAGGGUCUCUUAGUUCUGGAAGAAAGAAAAAAAAAAAACUAUGAUGCUUUAAAAAGCAAUAUCUGGGCUGGGAGGCGCAUGCCUGUAAUCCCAGCAGCUCAGGAGGCUGAGUUAGGGGGAUGGAGGGUUCAAAGCCAGCCUCAGCAAAGGCUAGCGCUAAGCAACUCAGUGAGACUCUGUCUCUAAAUAAAAUACAAAAUAGGGCUGGGCUCAGUGGUUGAGUGCUCCUGAGUUCAAUCCCUGGUACCUCACCCCCCAAAAAAAGCAAUAUCUGGGGGAGAAGUGAGAGCCCAUUAUUGUAUACAAAUGAUGCAUUUUCUGGGACAAACUGGUCCCCGAAUCUGACCUUAAAAUCUAAAAUCCCUUUCUUCCAGAUGGGCUUGUUGCUGAAGCGAGUCAGAUUGGCAGCAUCCAGGGUUUCCGGUGCCUUAGAAGUGUGUGACUGAUGGGCCAUGAGCAGGGUAACCUGAUGGUGAGACAGAUGUCCCUUCAGAUGCACAAGUUCUGCCUGUCCUCAGGGGAGGGAGGCUUCUCUGGGGCCUGGAUACGGAGGUUCCUGAGUUCUGCCCACUGUGGAGCCAUGUCUAUUAUCUAUUGCUUCGGGCUGCUUGGGGCUUCGCCUGCAGGCUUGCCACAGACCACAAAGCCUGAGACGUUUACCACCUGGCUCUUUGCAGGAAGUUUGCCAGCCCCUGAUGGAGAGUGACAGUUCUGACAUCGGUGCACAUCCCAUCCCCCUGAAGGCUGCAGAAAUGAACGAUGGGUCUUAUCUUCAGAGCUGAGGGUUCAGCCGGGCUGGGGCGAGACUUGGAAUGUGCAUUUCUAAGAGGUUUCCAGGUGCUGCUGAGGCUGCCAGAUCAGGGCCACGUUUUGAGAACGGCGGCUCUGCAGCGGGGCUUCUGACAUUUUAAUACGCACGCAAGUCACGUAGAGCUCCUGUUCAGAUUCAGACUCUGGUUUGGGAGAACCCAUCUCCAGAAGGAACCAGCCUUUGUCCCUGCCCUCCUCAGUCUCCCUGAUUAAGCCAGGUGGAUGCCUGAGUCAAGGGAACAUGGCUUACCAAUGGCCAAGGACAAGACCCUGAACAAACAGGGCAAUCUAACCAAGGCCAGAGCCUGUCCCUCCAGAGUCUGACCGGUGGCUAAGCAGACUGGACUGCCUUUGGUGGUGAUCCCUGGACCCAGAGGCAGGAUGUGGGGUUGGGCCAGUGCCACCAUGGGCCAAGAGCAAAAUGAGUGAGCAGAGGCAAUGGCUUAGGGAGGGAAGGAGAGGAAGUGGUGGUGCAGAGCUGGCUGGGAGAGGCGGAGAGCUUUUAAAAUCUCCAUUCCCAAGGUCCCCGGUGCUCUGAGAGAUGGCUCUAUCCUUCCGAUCUGCUUUUUUGGCUUGAGCUCCUUUGAGUAGGUACUUAGUCUUUGAAGUCCAAAGGGGCUGAGCAUAUAUCUGUGUGUCCCCUCAGCCGCCUGCCACGGUGAGAUUCUCUCGGUCAGGGACCGUGUUUUGGUUAUGUUCCUCUCCAGGACCUUGGACAGAGCCAGCCCUGGGGCCCUGGAGAGUGUGGGAGGGAUCUCAGUGGAGAGUCCUGGAUAGGAACUCCCAGGAAGUGAGGGGACAGCAGAGCAGGAGCUUGUAGAGGGUGUGGAGGCCAGGAGGGGAGGCUGAUCUCAGGUGGCCUUCAACUCCAGCAGGGAGGCCUUGGAAGUCCCGAAACUGGGGGAACGCAAUGAAGAUUAGUUGUGUUCUUUUAUUUAACAAGGAUCCUAAUGGCCCAGGUGAUGGAUGCUUUUCAAAAUAUUUUCACGAAGGACUGGGGACAUAGUUCAAUGGUAGAGUGCUUGCCUAGCACGCCCGAGGCCCUGGGUUUGAUCUGCAGUACAGCAAAAGCAGGGGGCAUGUAAGAAUUGUACAUUUUUAUAGGGUACUGUGUGUGAUGUUCAGAUACAUGUAAACAAUACGUAAUGAUCAACUAGAGCCAUUAGGGUAUCCAUCACAUCAUCUCUCCCUGGGGAGGACCUUCACUCCUCUCUUCCAGAUAUUUUGAAAUUACAAUUUUUUUUUUUUUUUUUUUAGUAUCGGGGAUUGAACUUAAGGGAAUUUUCCCACUGGGCUACAUCCCCACCCUCCCUUUUUCUUUAUUUUAAGACAGAAUCUCGCCAAACUGUUGAGGGCCUCUCUAAAUUGCUGAGGCUAGACUCAAAUCUGUGAUCCUCCUGCCUCAGCCUCCCAAGGGGCUGGGAUUACAGACUGGAGGGUACUAUGGCUCCUGGCUUGAAGUUACAAUGUUUUAUUAUUAAUUAUAGUUAUGCUACUCUGCAAACAAAACAAAAACAAAACAACAACAACAACAACAACAACAAUCACUGGAAUUUAUUUAUGUCACGGCUGCCUGUUGCCCAGCCUCUCCCCAGCAACCUCUCUCUCCUACCUUUCCCAGUCACUGGUAAGACUUUAACAUUGGAAAGGAGAAAACAGAUUCCAGUAUAGGAUCAACAAGAAAUGGUCACGUGCUUAACACUGUGCUAAGCCUCAGAAUGGGACCAUUAAUUCGAUAAACCAAAAGGCAGAGAUAAAGUCCAGUCUCACUAUUAAUGAUACACAAAUGAAUGUAGAUGCUGUUUGUCAUCGUUAUCAGGUUAGCAAGGACGCUGUGAAGCUCUGGUGAAACUGUCACUUCCAUAUUUCACAGCACACAUAGAGGAUAAAUUGGCCCAUUAUUUGGAACAUAAUUUAGCAAGAUGCAUUCUAAGCUUUAAAGAUUUUCAUAUCCCUAGCUUCCCAGAAAUCAAAUGACUAGAUCUAUCUUACAGAAAUUUCUGAAAAAUUAGUUUGUGAAAACCCAAUUAAAAAAUGAGACGAAUUUUCGAGCAGAUAGUUCCCCAAAGAAGACACACACGGCAGCUAAUAAGCACAUGAAGAGAUGCUCAGCAUCACUGUCCAUUCCAGAAACGCAGACAAAAGCGACACCAGUUACCACUCACACCCAUGAGGAUGGCCACUAACGUAAAUAAACCAGAAAAUAAUAAGUGUCCGUGAGGAUGUGAGGAAAUUGGAAUCCUGUGCACUAUUGGUGGGAAUGAAAAAUGGCACAGGCUCUGGAAAAUAGCAUGGCACACCCUCAAAAAAUUAAACAGAAUUUAUCAUAUGAUCCAGAAAUUUUACUUCUGGAUGUACACUCAAAAGAAUUUUCAUUCUUAUGAUGAAGGGUCUUGGGAAGAGAAUUGGUGCAUCCAUGUCUGCAACAGCAUCAUUCACAACAACUAAGACGUGGGAGCAAUCCAAGCACCGAUUGGCAGAUGAAUGGAUAAGCAAGAUGUGGUAUGCAUAUACAGUGGAAUAUUACUGAGUCACAUAAAGGAAAGGAAUUCUGCAAUAGGGUAGAACUUGAAAGAACUUCAGGAACAUUGUGAUAAGCAAGAUAAGCCAGUCACAAGUAUUGUGUGAUUCCACUUGUGUGAGGCACUUUGGAAACAGGAAGGAAAAUGGCAGCUGCCAAGGGCUGGGUGAAGGGGGAGGGGGACUGAGUAUUUAACAGGACAGAAUUUCAGUUUUACCAGAUGAAAAGAGUGAUGGAGCUGGCUGGUGGUGACAGUGUGUGUCAUUAAGUUUUUGACACUGCUGAACCCUACACUGAAAUAUGGUCACUUUAUGUUAUACAUGUUUUACUACAAUCUUUAAAAAUGGAAAAUAAAACUCUUAUGAAUGGAAAAAAAAACACCUGUGUGGAAAUUAACUAAAAGUUCAGUCAA